rnacentral:lncRNA from 1 species
CCUGGCAGAGUGAAGAAGAGUGAGUGCUCUUCCUGCCAGAGGAGUGGAGCGGAAUCCCACUCCAUCAGAGGUAGCGUUUGGCUGGUUGUGUAAGUCCAGACGCAGACGAGUGUGCUUGGAUGUCUUAGUGUUUUCCGUCUCUGUCAUUGUGUUGUGUUUACUCUUAUUCUUCACUAUGGGACAGACCGUGUCUACUCCUUUAUCUUUGACUAAGGACCAUUGGACAGACGUUAGGGCUAGAGGACAAAAUUUGUCAGUAAAAGUGAAGAAAAAGCCAUGGAUGACUUUCUGUUCCUCAGAAUGGCCUGUUUUUGGAGUAGGUUGGCCAGCAGAAGGAACUUUUUACUUACCCACCAUAAGGGCUGUGAAGGCCAUUGUUUUUCAGGAAGGACCAGGGUCGCAUCCAGACCAACAAUCGUACAUCAUGGUAUGGGAGGACUUGGCACGCUACCCACCCCCGUGGGUUCGCCCAUUCCUCCCGCCUCUCCGCCCUGGCACCAAGAUUCUAGCCAUCCAAGAAAAUGGUGCCGCAUCAGUUUGAAGUAGGAGACGCAGUCCUGGUGAGGAGACACCGAGCGGGAAACCUAGAACCGAGGUGGAAGGGACCCUACUUGGUGCUACUGACAACGCCCACCGCGGUCAAAGUGGAAGGAAUCCCCACUUGGGUCCACGCAUCCCACGUUAAGAGAGCACCCCCUGGAGUCAGCCAUGAUGAGUGGACUUUGGAGAAGACUACUAAUCCUUUUAAGUUGCGCCUGCUUCGUAGGAGCGAUCCCAAAAGACUUCAACCCCCACAGUCCUGUUCAACAAACGUGGGAGGUACUCAAUGAGGGGGGUAGGGCUGUAUGGACAAUCGCCGAGGUACACCCUCUGUGGACUUGGUGGCCUGAUCUUUUCCCUGACAUCUGUAAGUUGGC